UAACGAAUAUUCCGCAAUGGGCGAAAGCCUGACGGAGCAAUGCCGCGUGUGGGAUGAAUCGGCUUCGCCGUGUAAACCACUGUCAGGGUCUCGGACCACCGACCAGACCCAAAGGAAGGGCCGGCUAAUCUCGUGCCAGCAGCCGCGGUAAUACGAGAGGCCCGAGCGUUAUUCGGAAUCACUGGGCUUAAAGCGUGCGCAGGCGGAUCGGCAGGCGUCGUGUGAAAUCCCCCGGCUCAACCGGGGAACUGCACGGCGAACCGCCGGUCUUGAGGCAGGUAGGGGCCGACGGAACUAUGGGUGGAGCGGUGAAAUGCGUAGAUAUCCAUGGGAACGCCGAUGGCGAAGGCAGUCGGCUGGGCCUGUCCUGACGCUCAGGCACGAAAGCGUGGGGAGCGAACGGGAUUAGAUACCCCCGUAGUCC
rnacentral:rRNA from 1 species